GACAGAGGAUGCAAGCGUUAUCCGGAAUUAUUGGGCGUAAAGCGUCUGUAGGUGGCUUUUCAAGUCCGCCGUCAAAUCCCAGGGCUCAACCCUGGACAGGCGGUGGAAACUGCCAAGCUGGAGUACGGUAGGGGCAGAGGGAAUUUCCGGUGGAGCGGUGAAAUGCGCAGAGAUCGGGAGGAACACCCGUAGCGAAGGCGGCACUCUGGGCCGGUACUGACGCUGAGGAGCGAAAGCGUGGGGAGCAAACAGG
rnacentral:rRNA from 1 species